GAUUUUCAGGCGACCUACUCCUCCUCCCAAGGGCGCCUGAUCGAGCAGCGACACUCCUCCUCCCAGUCGCUGUUCAAAUCUUUUCGAAAAGCCUGCCGCACCUCCUCCCGCGGCAGGCUUUUUCG
rnacentral:sRNA from 1 species